CAUGCCACUUGUUCAAUUAAAAACAAAACAAAAAACUCUGUCACUCAUGGAGCUUCGGUCGAACACAGAACUUGCUGUGUUAGAAGCAAGUUAGAAGGUUAGAUGGUUAGAAAGACUAGGCAUGGUCUUCAGUGGGAAAGUACUGGCUGUGUCUCUUCUGUUUGUUCUUUGGGAACAAGAAACGACAGGAAGGGCUUGAAGGCAGGUAGCAGCAGAAAUUGCAAUGGAGAUGUAUCUUUUUUACACUGUUAAAUUGCUGACGAGUCCAUAUUUCAAGCAUCUGAUGGAGGGCAAGUUGUCAAAACAGAAGGCUGUGUCAGAGAGAAAAACCAAGAGCCUUUGGUGCCCAGGAUGCCCGAAGCCGGCACUAAAAUGAUAAGGGUUCAACAGCAUAAGGCUCAAAUUUUCGGACCCUGGUGCCAUUUGUGAGAAAGAUUCACUUUUUAAGUCAGAAAAGAGGGAUAAUUUUAAAUCCGCACAAGACUCCUUUUAUCUUGCCAACUAUCUUUGAAAACACUAGUAGUGGAAAACAGGGAGUCCUAAAAGCUAUCGGUACUGGUGGAAAGACCCAGGGAAGAACGAUUUAAGGUCUUCCUAGCAACAGCUAACGUUUUUGGAGCGCACACUGCUCAAGUGCUCUGCCUUAUUCAUACCCAUAGGCAGGGUCAGAACCACCCAGGGUCGCCGGGUUAGUGAACAGUGAUGCCAGGAUUCACACCCAGGUGACCUUGGCCUUUGGCCACUAGAACACCUGCCAACAACACAUACACCUUAAUGUACAUACUCCACAUAAAAUCUUCACAUUUAUUGUGGAGAAUUCUUUUUGUUCCAUCAAAAAGUGCCUCCCAAUGUUAGAAGGGCAUCCGUGUACUCUUCCUGACACAUCUCUAGGCAAUUAUGCCGGCAGCCGUUGGCUUAGAAAAAGUACCGAUGAAGAGAAGAGACAUCAGGGAAGUUGAGAGUUACAAAAAAUACGUCACACAUGCUGUUUGGAAAUAACCCAAACUGUUCAUUCUUCUGCCCUCUCCAGUCAGUGCAAGCCGCCCCCUCCCGCCCCUUCAUCUAACAGGCAGCCACCUCGGUGUCAAGUGCAUUGUGAGCCCAGGCGGGACUUCAGUGAGAACAGCCCGGUCCUCACCCUUGAGAAAGCUGUGGUGGUGUGAGUUCAACCCAGGGAACGGCAAGUUUUACCUGAUCCAGGUCAUUCCGCAGAGCGAUUUUGCUGGUGACCAGUUCAUGGGCAAGGUCAUCGUUCUCUUGCUCCAGCCUCAUGCUGGCCUCCUGGAGUCUCCGGUUCUCCCUCUGCAGGGAAAGAGCGACAGCCAGAGAUUUACACUCCUAACGGUGUUUUCUGCAAUGGUGGCAGAAACCUAGACAAAGCAGUGCCGUGGCCAGAAGACACGUCUAUGCCCUGGAAGACAAGUGUGUCACAGUGGUGUGUGCGGUGGAGUGACUUUCGUUUUCUAUUGAACAACGCGGGGUUGGUGACAUGGGAAAAAGAGAGCCUACUUGCUGUUUUUCUUUUUGUUUUUUAAAGAAGGACUAAGAAACUGAUGGGGAGGGCAGAGCCCAAGGCUUUCAUGCGGGUAGAGGGUCCCCCCUAGCAGGGCCGCCGGGAGGCCGAAGGAUGAACCUGUUGAUGAGAACCAGCCCACAGGGUCUAUUUCUGUCUUCUCUCUUGGAAAAGGAAGGCUCGGAGAGCUGGGGAAUGCCAAAACAUUUUUUUAAUGUUUUUUAUUUAUUU